rnacentral:rRNA from 6 species
GACACGACUCUCGGCAAUGGAUAUCUCGGCUCUCGCAUCGAUGAAGAGCGCAGCGAAAUGUGAUACGUGGUGCGAAUUGCAGAAUCCCGCGAAC